rnacentral:piRNA from 2 species
UGCUCUGACUGUAGGCAGGGAGGAAAGUGU